CUGAGACCUAGUGUCCUGGUGCGGCUACGCGUGUUGGGCAUCGGCUUCUUCAGCUGCCUCUCAAGGGAGACGGACUGCAUGCUCUGAAAUCUACCAGCUCCAAACUGUCAUGGUUCUGUGAGGCAAGAGUAACAUGGGAACAUGGUGCCAGGGCCUCAUGCACAUAAGGCAUGUGCUCUACUGGCUGAGCUACCUCCCUUUCUCCAACUCACUGCUUCUUCCGCAGACAGCUAGUCGGUAACAGGAAAAGAUGACGAUCUGCCCACUGGGCAAACGAGCAGCGAGAGGAAGUAACUCACCGGGAGUUGUCAUGGUGAAUGUUGCACGCUCGGGCCAUCAGCACCACAAUAACCGGUCGAAAGGCUUUUCCUUUUCCAUCAAAGUAGUACUCAGACAUCUCCUUAAGCUCUGUGGUAGAUAUAAAUAAUUCCUGAGGAGAAAUUUCACGGUGUCAACAGGGCAACGGAACUGCACAAAAAGUCAACAGGGUUUCUUUGACAAAAUGUUACUUGAUGGCACAUACAAUGGAAUGGAACAGUGUUCUGCUCAGUCUCUCUCUCAUAAAAUAAAUCUGAAUAAAAAAAUGUUCAG